rnacentral:pre_miRNA from 1 species
UGUGCACCGGUGUGGUCCCUCAGCCUGGCCUGUGCCCUCUCACAAUCCGAGGCCCCUCGGGGGAUGUUGGAGAGCUGGUUUCAGCCCCGUCCCACAGGCCAGGCUGAGGGACCCCACUGGUGCACG